GAUGAACGCUAGCUACAGGCUUAACACAUGCAAGUCGAGCGACCGGCGCACGGGUGAGUAACACGUAACCAACCUGCAAAUUACUAGGAGAUAGGCUAACGAAAGCAAAAUUAGUACCAGAUGUAAAGGAGGGGGAUUGGUUCCAUUAGGUUGUUGGUGCGGUAACGGCUCACCAAGCCUUCGAUGGAUAGGGGUUCGGAGAUGAAGGCCCUCCACAUUGGUACUGAGACCCGGUCUAAACUCCGACGCAAUGCAGCAGUGUGGAAUAUGAGUCAAUGGGCGCUAGCCUGAACACGCCAAGUCGCGGAAAGGAGGAAGGCUUAUUGGUCGUAAACUUCUUUUAUAUAUGAAUAGGUAUAAUAUGAAUAAGGAUCGGCUAACUCCGUGCCAGCAGCGGCGGUAAUUC
rnacentral:rRNA from 1 species